rnacentral:rRNA from 1 species
AGCGAACGCUGGCGGCGUGCCUAACACAUGCAAGUCGAACGUGAAAAGGGAAACCUGAGUAAAGUGGCGUACGGGUGAGUAACGCGUAGGUAAUCUACCCCAGAAUCUGGAAUAACCUGCCGAAAGGCGGGCUAAUACUGGAUAGAGCGAGGGAACUCGUAAGAGAGUUUUUCGGGAAAGGGAGCCCGCAAGGGCCUUCGUUCUGGGAUGAGCCUGCGUCUCAUUAGCUAGUUGGUAAGGUAACGGCUUACCAAGGCGAUGAUGAGUAGCUGGUCUGAGAGGAUGAUCAGCCACACUGGGACUGAAACACGGGCCAGACUCCUACGGGAGGCAGCAGUGGGGAAUCUUGCGCAAUGGACGAAAGUCUGACGCAGCCACGCCGCGUGAGGGAAGAAGGCCUUCGGGUUGUAAAGCUCUGUCGGAUGGGACGAACAUCUUCAUAGUGAAUAGCUAUGAGGACUGACGGUACCAUCAAAGGAAGCACCGGCUAACUCCGUG